GAUGAACGCUGGCGGCGUGCCUAAUACAUGCAAGUCGAGCGAACAGAUGAGGAGCUUGCUCCUCUGACGUUAGCGGCGGACGGGUGAGUAACACGUGGAUAACCUACCUAUAAGACUGGGAUAACUUCGGGAAACCGGAGCUAACACCGGAUAAUAUAUUGAACCGCAUGGUUCAAUAGUGAAAGACGGUUUUGCUGUCACUUAUAGAUGGAUCCGCGCCGCAUUAGCUAGUUGGUAAGGUAACGGCUUACCAAGGCAACGAUGCGUAGCCGACCUGAGAGGGUGAUCGGCCACACUGGAUCUGAGACACGGGCCAGACUCCUACGGUAGGCAGCAGUAGGGAAUCUUCCGCAAUGGGCGAAAGCCUGACGGAGCAACGUCGCGUGAGUGAUGAAGGUCUUCGGAUCGUAAAACUCUGUUAUUAGGGAAGAACAAAUGUGUAAGUAACUAUGCACGUCUUGACGGUACCUAAUCAGAAAGCCACGGCUAACUACGUG
rnacentral:rRNA from 1 species